rnacentral:lncRNA from 1 species
AGGGACCCCCAUUGGCUUAUUUCAAAUUAAUCCAGUCAUCCUCGAUCGAGCAUGUCUACCAAAGUCAUCCUUCUUGGGAACCUUGGUGGCAAUCUUAGAAACAUAGCAUCUUCAAUCUUAAUUGGCAAAUGUGUGGCUACAAUGACAAUCCCACCAUUCGUAAUUUAUUGCAAAUCCAGCAAAGAAUACAAAUUUUACAAUAGCUCAGAGCUAUCGAAUUCGAGCUUCAAUUCCCGCCAAAAAAAGCAGGGCCUAACCUAAACCUCACCAGUGAAACUAGAAAACUUAUAGGACAUAUUUUUCUUUUGGAUGAACAAAGAUAAAAAUCAGGGACCUCCAUUGGCUUAUUUCAAAUUAAUCCAAUCAUCCUCGAUCGAGCAUGUCUACCAAAGUCAUCCUUCUUGGGAAUCUUGGUGGCAAUCUUAAAAACAUAGCAUCUUCAAUCUUAAUUGGCAAAUGUGUGGCUACAAUGACAAUCCCACCAUUCUUCCUGUGAUCAGCAAUGAUGUGUUCAAGCAACUUGACCCCUUCAUCAUCCAAUGCCACAGAAGGUUCAUCAAGCAACCAAAUUGGCC